ACUCUGGUAUUGAUUGGUGCUUGCAUCAUGAUUUACAUUUGAGUGAGUGGCGAACUGGUGAGUAACACGUGGGAAACCUGCCCAGAAGCGGGGGAUAACACCUGGAAACAGAUGCUAAUACCGCAUAACAACUUGGACCGCAUGGUCCGAGUUUGAAAGAUGGCUUCGGCUAUCACUUUUGGAUGGUCCCGCGGCGUAUUAGCUAGAUGGUGGGGUAACGGCUCACCAUGGCAAUGAUACGUAGCCGACCUGAGAGGGUAAUCGGCCACAUUGGGACUGAGACACGGCCCAAACUCCUACGGGAGGCAGCAGUAGGGAAUCUUCCACAAUGGACGAAAGUCUGAUGGAGCAACGCCGCGUGAGUGAAGAAGGGUUUCGGCUCGUAAAACUCUGUUGUUAAAGAAGAACAUAUCUGAGAGUAACUGUUCAGGUAUUGACGGUAUUUAACCAGAAAGCCACGGCUAACUACGUGCCAGCAGCCGCGGUAAUACGUAGGUGGCAAGCGUUGUCCGGAUUUAUUGGGCGUAAAGCGAGCGCAGGCGGUUUUUUAAGUCUGAUGUGAAAGCCUUCGGCUCAACCGAAGAAGUGCAUCGGAAACUGGGAAACUUGAGUGCAGAAGAGGACAGUGGAACUCCAUGUGUAGCGGUGAAAUGCGUAGAUAUAUGGAAGAACACCAGUGGCGAAGGCGGCUGUCUGGUCUGUAACUGACGCUGAGGCUCGAAAGUAUGGGUAGCAAACAGGAUUAGAUACCCUGGUAGUCCAUACCGUAAACGAUGAAUGCUAAGUGUUUGGAAGGGUUUCCGCCCUUCAGUGCUGCAGCUAACGCAUUAAGCAUUCCGCCUGGGGGAGUACGGCCGCAAGGCUGAAACUCAAAG
rnacentral:rRNA from 2 species